UGCCUUUCAUUAAUAAUAUUUGCAGCUAAAAAUGCAGAAAAUCUCAGUGGUCUGAGAAACCGGCUUGAACUAUGAUAUCUGGACCGGUUCUUUACAGUGAGAUUCAUCCGCCUGUAUUUUGAAGUGUUGGUUGCCUUAACUUGUGUUGUUUUAUUGGUUUAUAUUGAUCUCGUCUGGCUGCAGCUGAUUUUAAACCCAGUCACAUUCACUCGUUUCUGUGCGUCAUCAUUUGGAGAUCAGCUGCGUUUCAUUCCAUUGGAGUUCAUUUAUCCUGUACAGUCGUCUGAUCUCUGGUCUGUGGACAGUGACGUAUCGUAACAUGAUAUUAGCCGUUAAAAGUGUUUUCGUUGCGUGAUGAUGUACAUUCUGUAAAUAUGACUUAUAUGAAGUACCACGUUUAAAAGUUGUUUUCUUAAAUGCUGUUGUAAAGGUAUAUCAGAUUUUAGAGAGACGAUAUCUUGACAGAUACAGAGCUUAAAGUCACACUGCAAAGAAACACAUCUGAAUUUCAGACCGUCAUGUCUUUUUAUUAAAUUACAAACGUGGAAACAUCA